rnacentral:tRNA from 1 species
GCCCGGGUGGCUCAGUCGGUUAAGCAUCCGACUUCGGCUCAGGUCAUGAUCUCAUGGUUCGUGGGUUCAAGCCCCGUGUCGGGCU